rnacentral:rRNA from 1 species
UAGGGAAUCUUCGGCAAUGGACGAAAGUCUGACCGAGCAACGCCGCGUGAGUGAAGAAGGUUUUCGGAUCGUAAAACUCUGUUGUUAGAGAAGAACAAGGACGUUAGUAACUGAACGUCCCCUGACGGUAUCUAACCAGAAAGCCACGGCUAACUACGUGCCAGCAGCCGCGGUAAUACGUAGGUGGCAAGCGUUGUCCGGAUUUAUUGGGCGUAAAGCGAGCGCAGGCGGUUUCUUAAGUCUGAUGUGAAAGCCCCCGGCUCAACCGGGGAGGGUCAUUGGAAACUGGGAGACUUGAGUGCAGAAGAGGAGACUGGAAUUCCAAGUGUAGCGGUGAAAUGCGUAGAUAUAUGGAGGAACACCAGUGGCGAAGGCGGCUCUCUGGUCUGUAACUGACGCUGAGGCUCGAAAGCGAGGGGAGCAAACAGG